UUAGAGAAACAGGCCUCGAACCUGCACCAAAGAGCUCAAAACCCUCUGUACUCCCAAUAUACUAUUCCCU
rnacentral:tRNA from 1 species